CACGGGGGGAGCAAGCGUUGUUCGGAAUCACUGGGCGUAAAGGGUGCGUAGGUGGUGAGGUAAGUCGGAUGUGAAAUCUCCGAGCUCAACUCGGAAAUUGCAUUGGAAACUACCUUGCUUGAGGGUUGGAGGGGGGACUGGAAUGCUUGGUGUAGCAGUGAAAUGCGUAGAUAUCAAGCGGAACACCAGUGGCGAAGGCGAGUCCCUGGACAACACCUGACACUGAGGCACGAAAGCUAGGGGAGCAAACAGG
rnacentral:rRNA from 1 species